GACACGGUGGUCUAGCGGUUAGAACGCUGGUCCUGUAAUCCUGGGGUCUCGGGUUCGAUUCCCGGCGGUGCCC
rnacentral:tRNA from 1 species